UUCUCCAAUGCAUCAUUCAUUUAAAAUCAAGCCAAUGUAAAUGUUUCACAACUUACCCAAUUAUUCACGAAACGAGUUACAACUAAAAUCAAAUGUUUGUUGCGAACCCAAGUAACUCACGGCUACCUUCAAUAUCUUCAAAAAUUAAUUAACAAUUUCAACAUUAAAUCCGAAGAACCACACCUAUGAUAACUAUGGAAUAAUCUACAAGAUUUCACAACUUUUCACUACAAAAAAUCUUACGAUAAAACAGCGGCAGUGGUUCCGAAGACAGUGCGAAAAAUCUGAAAUUGACUUGGGCGUGGGUCGAAUUUGGGAACCGCGGCUAGAAGAGAGUCACACGCGGCUGGAAGAAGAGGAAACGCGCCUCUGGAAGGAGACGUGCGCGCUGCCUCACGAUCGACCGGCGAACUGACGCGGACAGAGACCGGCGCGGACGUAGCAGGCACGACAGUUGGGGCUUCACGAACGGCGAGGCGACGCGGGUUUGGGGCGGCGUCCGUGGGUCGAAGAAGAAAAGAGGAACGACGGCUUCACAGAUCUGGACGAGCGAUGGUUGCGGGUGGACGGAGAGAAGAGAGGAAGGGCGGCUAGAAAUGGGGGAGGGGGGAAGUUGCGCGCGCGAGGAAGAAGAAAAGGGAAAAAGAAUUCUUUUUUCUUUUUCUUUUAUUUAAUUUAAUAAUUAAUAAUUAUGAUAACAAAAUAAAUAUAUAUUAUUAUAUUAUUACAUUUUCAAUUCCUUUCUCCCCU
rnacentral:lncRNA from 1 species